UUUCCGUAGGUGAACCUGCGGAAGGAUCAUUAAUGAGUUGACAUGGGGUUCGAUGCUGGCAGCCAGUUUUUGGAUGCAUGUGCUUGCCCUAACAAUCAUCUUCUUCCAAACACCUGUGCACAUUUUUGAGGGAGUCUUGAGUUGGUUGCCGCUCUUGGGUGAUUUUCUCACAUUCCCUUAAAUCAUUAUACGCUAUUAACAAUGUUGAACGUGCUCUGUGCCGCAAGGCCAUUAAUAUAAUACAACUUUUAACAACGGAUCUCUUGGCUCUC
rnacentral:misc_RNA from 1 species